UGGGGAAUUUUGGACAAUGGGCGAAAGCCUGAUCCAGCAAUGCCGCGUGUCGAUGAAGGCAGCUUCGGGUUGUAAAGCACUUUUGUCCGGAAAGAAAUCCUUGGCUCUAAUACAGUCGGGGGAUGACGGUACCGGAAGAAUAAGCACCGGCUAACUACGUGCCAGCAGCCGCGGUAAUACGUAGGGUGCAAGCGUUAAUCGGAAUUACUGGGCGUAAAGCGUGCGCAGGCGGUUUGCUAAGACCGAUGUGAAAUCCCCGGGCUCAACCUGGGAACUGCAUUGGUGACUGGCAGGCUAGAGUAUGGCAGAGGGGGGUAGAAUUCCACGUGUAGCAGUGAAAUGCGUAGAGAUGUGGAGGAAUACCGAUGGCGAAGGCAGCCCCCUGGGCCAAUACUGACGCUCAUGCACGAAAGCGUGGGGAGCAAACAGGAUUAGAUACCCUGGUAGUCCACGCCCUAAACGAUGUCAACUAGUUGUUGGGGAUUCAUUUCCUUAGUAACGUAGCUAACGCGUGAAGUUGACCGCCUGGGGAGUACGGUCGCAAGAUUAAAACUUAAAUGAAUUGACGGGGUCAUAGCUGUUUCCU
rnacentral:rRNA from 1 species